rnacentral:lncRNA from 1 species
CUCAAGCAGGCACUGAAAAGAACGAAUUUAAGCAAUCUAUUUUGACUCACAACAGACUUACAAUAUUUUGUUGACACUUGACAUGUUUAUUCUUUUAGCAAAAUUAUAAUCAUGUUUUAAUAUUUCCUGCAUGCAAUUAGCAGCUUUAUUCAAGAGACAACGAUGGCAUAUGAGUCCAGAAGAUAAGACCAACUAUGGCUUUCUGAAAUGAGAUGUUCAAAGAGACCUCAUGCUUUGGGAUCAGUUUUUUCUUUGGUCAAAAAGCACCAAGCCAAGAGUACACAUGGAAGUCCCUUUGGCUAUUUCCCUACUCUUUUCACUUCCAGCUUCAUUCUGCACCUUGAAGAAAUCUUCUCUACACGUGGUUGCUCCUGUCUCAGAAGGCUAUGUGUUACAGAUGUGAAAGGAUAAAUUCACCCCUGUGGUUGAUAUUUAUGGGAAUGCAAGGUGACAGCUGGAAUCUCAAAGACCUCCUGGAGCCUCACAGGGUGUUGCCAAUCAUCUUGGAAAUACACAGUCAUUUUCCAGGAAAGUUUUGUUUUCUAAAAAAAUCAGUCCAUCUACUCUGUUCAGAUGCUGUUGUGACCCCAUCUCUGAGGAGCCAACCUUGCCCUUCGGGGCCUUUAUGCCAAACAAGCCUACAUUGUCUGCAUCAAAAGGACAGAAGAUUACAGAAUAAAAACAGAAAAAGGAGAAGAAGUGGCCACAUACGGAUUCGAGAAGAUCAUGGUGAUUCAAGCAUGGCUAUGUUGAGUGAAGUCAAUGUGAUUUUCAUUUGGAGAAGAAGAGAAUUGAUUCAUCAUGAUUGGACAAUGGUGAAUGAGACUCAGGAGCUGUGUCUGCUUCCUGACUUCUUACUUGACCAGGGAGGAUGUGAAUGGUUGUGUGACGGGGGUUGAGUGACUCUACUGUGGGAACAAUUCCCAGGAAUGAUCUAUCUUCCUCUCUCACUGAGUGUCUACUGUGUAUUUUUAUGGCACUAAUUACUACAUGGGGGCCCUGACAGGUCACAUUAGUCCGGGGAGAACACAAGAAUCAAGGAAAACAUUGUCAUAUCAUUUUCCUGAGGUUUGCUGGUGAAAUUUUGGAACUUCUUUUCCUUUGGACCUCAAAAUAUUAACUGCCAUGUUGUAUUAAUAUAAUGUACUGAUAUUCCUUGGCAUGAUUAAUUUUUUCCUACUAAAUUUGAAGCCUUUGAAAGCUUUGUGUCUUGGGAUCAAGACUAUAGGCCUGUUAUAUUUUUUCUCAGGCUUGCCUAAAAAAUGUUUAAGUAUGAGAAUGAAAUAAUAUUGAUGCUAUCUCUCUAUACACAGAGAUUCAGCUUAGGGGAGAGAUAAAUGUUUGUUCUUAACAACCAGCUCCAAACCAGGACCAAGCACCCCCCGCCCCCCCAUAUACAAAUCACUUCCCACAUUCCCAUAUGAUUGCACACUUGACUAUCACGGUGCUCAGUACUGUGAUUUUUUAAUUUAUUUUAUUAAACAUUUUUUUAAGAUUUUAUUUAUUUAUUCAUGAGAGAGACACACAGACACACACAGAGGCAGAGACAUAGGCAGAGGGAGAAGCAGGCUCCAUGCAGGGAGCCUGACAUGGGACUUGAUCCAGGGUCUCCAGGAUCACACCCUGGGCUGAAGGCGGUGCUAAACCGCUGAGCAACCUGGGCUGCCCAGUACUGUGAUUUUUAAAUUAUUUAUCUGUCUGAGUUUUCUUUCCUGGAUUAUAACUCCAAAAAGUUAGGAAGUUGGUCUUGGAUUUUCACUGUGUCUUCUUCAAACCUCAGUAUAGGGCAAAGCAUAUGGUAAUUGCUUAUUGAAUGAAUCAAUAAUCCAUUGAAUAAUCAUUUUAUUUUGUUCUCACAUUGCUUCUGAACUCGAUCAACAUCAGAGUCAGCCAAAUGCUUUUAUAAGCUAUUUUAAUUCUAUAUCAAGUUACUAAAACUUAAACAAUUUUCUGUUAAAAAAUAAAAUGUUUGUUUUUGCUGUGCUUCUCUUCA